rnacentral:rRNA from 1 species
CGGGAGAAUUGCUAGCUUGCUAAUAAUUCUCUAGUGGCGCACGGGUGAGUAACACGUGAGUAACCUGCCCCCAAGAGUGGGAUAGCCCCGGGAAACUGGGAUUAAUACCGCAUAAAAUCGCAAGAUUAAAGCAGCAAUGCGCUUGGGGAUGGGCUCGCGUCCUAUUAGUUAGUUGGUGAGGUAACGGCUCACCAAGGCGAUGACGGGUAGCCGGUCUGAGAGGAUGUCCGGCCACACUGGAACUGAGACACGGUCCAGACACCUACGGGUGGCAGCAGUCGAGAAUCAUUCACAAUGGGGGAAACCCUGAUGGUGCGACGCCGCGUGGGGGAAUGAAGGUCUUCGGAUUGUAAACCCCUGUCAUGUGGGAGCAAAUUAAAAAGAUAGUACCACAAGAGGAAGAGACGGCUAACUCUGUGCCAGCAGCCGCGGUAAUACAGAGGUCUCAAGCGUUGUUCGGAAUCACUGGGCGUAAAGCGUGCGUAGGCGGUUUCGUAAGUCGUGUGUGAAAGGCGGGGGCUCAACCCCCGGACUGCACAUGAUACUGCGAGAUUAGAGUAAUGGAGGGGGAACCGGAAUUCUCGGUGUAGCAGUGAAAUGCGUAGAUAUCGAGAGGAACACUCGUGGCGAAGGCGGGUUCCUGGACAUUAACUGACGCUGAGGCACGAAGGCCAGGGGAGCGAAAGGGAUUAGAUACCCCUGUAGUCCUGGCAGUAAA